rnacentral:lncRNA from 1 species
AUUCUGUUUAAAUUUCAAUGUCUUACAUACAUAAUGGUGUUCCAUCUUUGUUGAGUCAUGCUCAACUUUUUUUUUUUUUUUUUUUUUUAAUUAUGAAAUUUCUUGUGAAACCACUUUUGGUCAAUAACUUGCAGGCCUAUGCCUCUUACAUGGAGGGAAUUUUUUUUAGUUGAACAAGAUCAGCACUAGGAAAAAUGAAAGGGCCUGGUCUCGACCUUUUCAAAGCUAAAUUGGAGGUUUGUAUUUUUCCAAGUAUGCAAUCUUGUUAUGGAUGUAGUUGCUAUGUUCUGAUUAUAUUCUUUUUCAUAGGUCAAGGGGAGGGUGUUUUAUUUAUAGCCUCUAUGGCAUGAGGAAAAAAAGAAACUACGUGGGCGUUUCGGCUUGAUUUAAUCCUCAUUGUCCCGUUAUUUUAAUUUAGUUGUUUUCAUUGUAGGAUACCAUAGCUGAGAUUAGAUAUCAACAAGCUGCAUCCAGGGGCGAACCCACAGUGGGUCCUGGUGGGUCACGUGACCCACCAAGUUUGAUUUUUUUCAAUAUGAAUUCAUCAGAUUAGAGUCCUAUUAUAGCUGCAAAUUUGAAAAGGAAAUCCCACCAACCGUCCCAUAAUUUCUGCCUUACUUGAACCCUUCCUUAAUCUCCUUCUUGCCUUGAGUGUUGCCAGCGAUUGGAGCCACUAUCAGAGUCAAAGUCAUCUGCCAUCAACCAUCCGGUUGUGCAGCUGAUUCAGUCGAGUGAUGCUGCUGCCGUUUCAACCAUGCGUGGCCUACCUCCCAUCUUUGAUAGUUGCCACCGCCAUUUGUCGCCAUAGCCGUCCGCUUCCCAAGAACCCAAGUUUAGUACAGAUUCUACAUACUUUAGUCUUUAAAUUAUUUUAUGUUUUGAACUUUGAUUUUACUUACAUCUCUUGAUCUCUAGUUGAAAGCACAUUUGGAAAAAUGACAACUUCUUUUAGAGGAUGGGGUUCAUAAUAGUAGCCUUUUUUUCAAAAAAAAAAAGGACUGCAGUUGCCUUUCAAUGUAAAGUAUUCCUCCAUAUAUCCCAAACAUAUGGUUCAAGUAUCAAGACCGAUUCUAGUUACUAAAGUAACCUCUUCUUCAUUCGAAAUCUUGUUUCAGGUCCUGUAUAAUUAUGAAUGAAUUUAAUGUAGACUAGUUAAUGUAUAUUUCUGAUUUUGAGUUUUCAUUGCAACAAGUCAGCUUUCUUGACAAUUAGUUAUGGUGAAGAGUGAAUUCUGAAUAUAUGAUUUGUGAUUUGGAAAUUUCUCUGGAUUUGUUAAACUAGGCAUGUAAAUGUUAGGGAUUGAAUAUGCCUGGGGCAAAUCUGGAUAUAUGAUUUGUGAUUUGGG